rnacentral:rRNA from 1 species
AUUGAACGCUGGCGGAAUGCUUUACACAUGCAAGUCGAGCGGCAGCGCGGCCUUCGGGCUGGCGGCGAGCGGCGAACGGGUGAGUAAUGCAUCGGAACAUGCCCAGUCGUGGGGGAUAACACUUCGAAAGAAGUGCUAAUACCGCAUACGUCCUGAGGGGGAAAGCGGGGGAUCGCAAGACCUCGCGCGAUUGGAGUGGCCGAUGUCAGAUUAGCUAGUUGGUGGGGUAAAGGCCUCCCAAGGCGACGAUCUGUAGCUGGUCUGAGAGGAUGAUCAGCCACACUGGGACUGGGACACGGCCCAGACUCCUACGGGAGGCAGCAGUGGGGAAUUUUGGACAAUGGGGGCAACCCUGAUCCAGCCAUUCCGCGUGAGUGAAGAAGGCCUUCGGGUUGUAAAGCUCUUUCGGCAGGAACGAAACGGUGGGCUCUAACAUAGUCCGCUAAUGACGGUACCUGAAGAAGAAGCACCGGCUAACUACGUG